GGGCCCCGCCGGUGCAUUAGUCUAGUUGGUAAGGUAAAGGACGUUACCAAGGGCGAUGAUGCAUAGCCCGAGUUGAGAGACUGAUCGGCCACAUUGGGGACUGAGACACGGCCCAAACUCCUACGGGAGGCAGCAGUAGGGAAUCUUCCACAAUGGACGCAAGUCUGAUGGAGCAAACGCCGCGUGAGUGAAGAAGGUUUUCGGAUCGUAAAGCUCUGUUGUUGGUGAAGAAGGAUAGAGGUAGUAACUGGCCCUUUAUUUGACGGUAAUCAACCAGAAAGUCACGGGCUAACUACGUGCCAGCAGCCGCGGUAAAU
rnacentral:rRNA from 1 species